GUCUACAGCCAUACCACCCUGAACAAGCCCGAUCCCAUCUGAUCUCGGGAAGCUAAGUGGGGUCGGGCCUGGUUAGUACUUGGAUGGGAGAACAUCUAGGAAGACCAGCUGCUGUAGGUG
rnacentral:rRNA from 1 species